ensembl:lncRNA
CUGGAACAGGCUGCCCAGAGAGGCCUCUGUCUCUGGAGAUACUCAAAACCCAACCUGGAUGUGAUCCUUGGUGAUGUUCUAGGUGGCCCUUGAAGCACAGGGAUUAGAUUAGAUAACCCCAAGUAGUCCCUUUCAACCUUAACCAUUCUGUGAUUCUGUGAAGUCAGUGUGACUCACUGAAUUGUUGUAACCAGCAACUUUACCCCCCAAUGCUACCUGUAAAUGCAAUCCUUCUCCCUGACAAAAUGUCAGUAUCCAAAUCACAAUACCCUAACCUCAAAUCUCACUUUGAUGCUAAAGCCUAAAGCCAUAGUCACUCUGCCUUAAUCUUACCCUAAUGCUUGCCCCAGCCCUAAACUAAACCAAACCACAAAGCAAGCCCCUACCAUAAACACUGAUCAGAUACACUGUGCAGAACACCAAACCCUCUCCUAAAAUAUUUCUGCUCCCUCACCUUGAAAGGCAAACUGUAACCCCUGAACACUGACCAGAACAUAUCAACUUCAAAGCCUUCUAUUCCAUAAUCUCAUCCUCUCACCAUUGUCUUCUCUCCUAGCCCUACGCUAAGCUGUUUGGCCCCUUGGAGCAGGGAGGGAUACUGAGAUCCCAGAGCAGUCACCUUGUGUUGGAAGAGAAACAUGAGCUGACAUGUAUCUAAUCAGCUUGAAGGCCACAUGGAGGACAUGGGUGGGCAUGCUAUGACAAUGACAAUGUCAGCUCUCCCUCAGGCCCUCCUGGGCCAGCAGGAGAGACACGGCUGUGAAGGUGGCUGGGAGGUCACUUCUGUCUCUGUAUGUGAUAGGCUGGCACCACACAUGUGGCCGGGAGAGGGACUGUGAGGUCAUUUGCCAGAAGCAGCUGACAGGUCAGCCCAGGACUCUGGGCUGGGAUCUGGGCUUUUAGGCUCAUACCUGCCGGCAACAUGAUUGGCACACUGCUGCUUAGAUCACCUCUGCCUAAUUACCUGGAGGAGCAAUUGCAGAGUGGGAUGCAUGAAGAGAUAAACUUUCAGAAGAAGGCUCAUUUGCUGAGCCAGACAGCAGACAAGGCAGAUUCAUCUCCCAAUUCCUUCAAAAAUAUCAGCAAGUCCAAAGUCCCACGACAUCCUGAAGCAAGGAGAACCACAGGUCCCAUCCUCCACAAUCAGUUAUGAAGGAGCUCCAGUGGGCCUCCCUUGUCUGUGCUGGAAGGAGAAAGGUGACAGUCUGUGCAGCCUGAAGUUUGAUUGUUACAUGUUAUAUUACUAUUUUCAUUUUUCUUAUUUUUCAACCUCGAGAGUCUCAAAUUCUCAUUACAUACAAC